rnacentral:lncRNA from 1 species
AGAGAAUGCCUUUACAUUCCCGUAUGGCUCUCAGGGAUGGGAGUGCUGAUGCUCAUAGCUCUCCUCUUCCUCACAGCAAAGCAAGCAGAGAGAAGAGGAAAACGUCAUUGCGUGACCAGAUGUCCAAUGAGUACCACGAUCCUAAAUAUAAAAUUGAGUAUUUUAUAGCUGAGUAUUUUAAGCGUUUUCACCCUAUCUGGUGCAAAUACCUGAAGUAUUUCCACAAAUUUUCGUCAUGACUGAUUCAGCUGAUGAAUUUCUCUGAGCUGACACUGUCGCCCUGCAAUAAAUGAAGCUUACCUGGACACGGCAUUUCUUCU